GGUUUCACGAUCGAUGAAAUGCAUGAUCGCCCGGCUGUCGUAGAUUGCCAGGCCGUCCGCGGUU
rnacentral:sRNA from 1 species